rnacentral:lncRNA from 1 species
GGGAACUUCCUGCCAAGCGUGAGAACGCUGCGAACUUCCCGGAGGCCAAAAGUUGAGGGGGCUGAGCGGAGCGUGAUUGGGGAGGGGCGGGCCUGGGAGACCUUGGGCGCCUCCUCUGAAAGCCUCUUGGCCUCCCUAUUUCCCACAGAGAAAACAAUAUUGAAAUUAGGCCAGUUAAUAACCCGCCAGUGGCCUCUAAGUGUUUAAGUGAAAGGAAGAUUCACACAUCUGUCACAUUAAAUAAAAAGCUAAGAAAUGGUUAGUUAAACUUAAUGAGGAAGGCAUGUCGAAAGCUGAGACUGGUCAAAAGCUGGGCCUCUUUUGAAAGUUAGCCAAGUUGUGUAGGCAAAGGAAAUGUUCUCAAAGGAAAUUAAAAGUGUUACUCCAGUGAACAUGUGAAUAAGAAAGCAAAACAACCUGUUGCUGAAAUGUAAAAAGUCUGAGUGGUCUGGAUAGAAGAUCAAACAAGCCACAACAUUCCCUUAAGCCAAACCCUAAUCCAGAGCAAGGUCCUAACUCUCUUCAAUUCUGUGGAGACUGAGAGAGGUAAGGAAGCUGUGUAAGAAAAGUUUGAAGCUCACAGAUGUUGGUUCAUGAGGUGUAGGGAAAGAAGUUAUCUCCAUAACAUAAAAGUUCAAGGUGAAGCAGCAAAUGGCUGAUGUAGAAACUGCAGUAAUUUAUUCAGAAGAUCUAGCUAAGAUAAUUGAUGGAGGUGGCUACACUAAACAGCAGGUUUUCAGUAUAGACAAAACAGCCUUAUAUUGGAAGAAGAUGCUAUCUAGGACUUUCAGAGCCAGAGAGAAGUCAAUGCCUGAUUUCAAAGAUUCAAGGACAGGCUGACUCUGCUGUUAAGGGCUAAUACUAACUGGUAACUUUAAACAGAUACGAAUGCUUAUUUACCAUUCUGUAAAUCCUAGAGCCCUUAAGAAUUAUGCUAAAUCUACUCUGCCUGUGAACUAUAAAUGGAACAACAAAGCCUAGAUGACAGCACAUCUGUUUAUAGCAUGUCUUACUGGGUGUUUUAAGCCCACUGUCGAGCCCUACUGCUCAAAGAAAAAAAAGAUUCCUUUUAAAGUUCUACUGCUCAUUGACAAUGCUCCUGGUCAUCCGAGAGCUUUGAUGAAGAUGCACGAGGAAAUUAGUAUUGUUUUCAUGCCUGCUAACACAGCAUCCAUUCUGCAGCCCAUGGAUCAAGAAGUAAUUUCAACUCACAAGUAUUAUUUAAGAAAUACAUUUCAG